UACGUAGGUGGCAAGCGUUGUCCGGAUUUACUGGGCGUAAAGAGCGCGCAGGCGGUCGUUCAAGUCGCGUGUGAAAGCCCCCGGCUCAACUGGGGAGGGUCAUGCGAUACUGAUCGACUCGAAGGCAGGAGAGGGUAGUGGAAUUCCCGGUGUAGUGGUGAAAUGCGUAGAUAUCGGGAGGAACACCAGUGGCGAAGGCGACUACCUGGCCUGUUUCUUGACGCUGAGGCGCGAAAGCUAGGGGAGCAAACGGG
rnacentral:rRNA from 1 species